UACGUAGGUGGCAAGCGUUGUCCGGAAUUAUUGGGCGUAAAGCGCGCGCAGGCGGUCCUUUAAGUCUGAUGUGAAAGCCCACGGCUCAACCGUGGAGGGUCAUUGGAAACUGGGGGACUUGAGUGCAGAAGAGGAGAGUGGAAUUCCACGUGUAGCGGUGAAAUGCGUAGAUAUGUGGAGGAACACCAGUGGCGAAAGCGGCUCUCUGGUCUGUAACUGACGCUGAGGCGCGAAAGCGUGGGGAGCAAACAGG
rnacentral:rRNA from 1 species